UACAGAGGGGGCAAGCGUUAUUCGGAAUUAUUGGGCGUAAAGGGCGCGUAGGCGGCCUGACAAGUGGAAGGUGAAAUCCCUCGGCUCAACUGAGGAACUGCCCUCCAAACUGUUUGGCUUGAGACCGGGAGAGGUGAGUGGAAUUCCCAGUGUAGCGGUGAAAUGCGUAGAUAUUGGGAGGAACACCAGUGGCGAAGGCGGCUCACUGGACCGGAACUGACGCUGAGGCGCGAAAGCGUGGGGAGCAACGGG
rnacentral:rRNA from 1 species